rnacentral:rRNA from 1 species
UACGUAGGGUGCGAGCGUUAAUCGGAAUUACUGGGCGUAAAGCGUGCGCAGGCGGUUUUGUAAGCCAGAUGUGAAAGCCCCGGGCUCAACCUGGGAAUGGCAUUUGGGACUGCAAGGCUUGAGUGCGGCAGAGGAGACUGGAAUUCCUGGUGUAGCAGUGAAAUGCGUAGAUAUCAGGAGGAAUACCGAUGGCGAAGGCAGGUCUCUGGGCUGACACUGACGCUCAUGCACGAAAGCGUGGGGAGCAAACAGGG